CCCUGAAGGCUGAUUUGGGUUUGCAGGGAACAGGAGGAUCGGCAUGGCGGAGCACGUUGGUCUGAGCACAUGUGAGGUGUUUAGAAAACUGCAAGUCAUCCAGCACGGGAGCAACGCCAGGCACAGGCAGGGGAGUCGUAGGGGAUGAUGCUGCAGAAGGGACAGACCGGGUUCUAGAAGUUGGCGAGCAAGGAAAUGUGAGCAUCUGGACUGCCGAACGCACCCUGUUAAGUGCUACUCAUGUCGUUCUGAUUGGGCUGAAUUGAAGAGCUGCCCAGCCUCUCCCCUGGCCCUGAGACCCCUGACCUAGAGGGACUAACUAGAGGGACGGCAUGGCAAUGGCAAGUGUACCCAAGACAGCAUGCCCGGAGGUUUAUCCAGGAAUAUUCAUCCAGAGGGAAAGAGCAAUGGACGAUGAGCAUGUUGGACCAGAUGGGCACGUGUCCAAGUGCACCCUAUGGAAUGUAUCAGCAUCGGCCUCGCCUGGAAGCCUGAUAGAAAUGCAGAUUCCCAGGCCCUGCCCAGGCCUGCUGUAUCCGGAUCUCUUGGUGGUGGAGCCCAGGGAUCUGCAUGUCACGAGCUUGCUCAGAGUAUCUGUGAACUGAGUUCAAUCCACAGCCCUCUACUCCAAUGCUAGCCAGACCCUGGGGCCAUUGCCUCUCCCCCCACAUGCCCCUCCAUACUGUCAGCACCUCUGCAUUGUGGCCUUUCUGCCACCCCCAACCGACUUGGGGAUCCCAACCACCCACACCCAGGGGCCUGCACCAGACUGCAGAGUGUUGCCUGAGGGGACACAGUCCACAGUCAUCCUUUUCUC
rnacentral:lncRNA from 10 species